AGGUCAGCACUUGAACAGAGAAAGGCAGAUGAGAUCGACUAUGAUGCACCAGUUAAAUCUGAGAAGAAGACAAUUGGACUUGGCACUAAGAUUGGAGUAGGAGUAGCUGUUCUUGUCUUCGGUCUGGUUUUUGCACUUGGAGACUUUCUUCCUUCUGGAAGUGAUGGUCCCCUUGAAGAUGCUAUAGUAGUUGAUAAAAAGUUAUCCAAAGAAGAGAAAGCUACUCUUCAGGCUCGUUUGAAACAAUAUGAGGCAACACUUGCUGUCUCCUCUAAAGAUCCUACCGCACUUGAAGUGAGUUACACAAUUUAAAUAAUAGUUCUUGUGUGUGUGUGUGUGUUGAGCAUUAUUGCUUUUAUUGUUUUAGAAUUACUUCAUCCUUUAUUUAUGCUUGAGUUGAAACACUCUAUUGUUGCCUGUUAUGCCUAUCAUUAACUUUGGAAAGACAAAUUUAAAGAAAUCAACAUUUUGAUGGUUGCUUUUUGCUCUUUUGUUUUUUUUCCCUUCAUAAUAGGCAUUAUAUGAUUGCUUAUUGUAUGUACAAACAAGUUCCCUCGUUUGCCUUCUGUUCCUUUGUGCCCAGAUAUUUGAAAUUCAUUCAAGAGGUCUUGCAGGGAGCUGCUGUAACCUUGGCAGAAUUGGGAGAGUAUGCUCGGGCUUCCUCUCUGCUUCAGGACUUGGCAAAGGUUUACAGCAUCCUAAGUGUGAUGUGUUACAUGUGCCCUCAGUUUGCUCAACUUGUGUUCUUUAGAAAGUUAUUCAUUCACUAAAUUGAAAUUUCCAGGAGAAACCCACUGACCCUGAAGUUUUUCGUUUGCUUGGGGAAGUUAAAUAUGUGCUCAAAGAUUAUGAGGGAAGUGCUAAUGCAUACAGGAUAUCUGUGAUGGUCAGUGUUUCUAGAUGCUUGUCAUUCUUUACUUUCUACUCAAGGCCGGAUCUAACAAUUUGUUAGGGGUGGCCAAAUCUAAAACAACAUAGCAUCAUCAUACAUUAAAAAAAUGAUAAUUGAUCAAAUACACAAUUGUAUAUAACAAUUAAGUCAUAUAUAUAAAUGAAGUCAAAUACCCAAGUGGCACUAUAUAGGAGUGAAGCGACUUAUUGUAGGAACAUUGUUAUUCAUAUUCCUUGGUUGAUCUUUGCCUUCCCACUCUUUUGUGGUAUGUUCACUCAUGCCCUGUUGUUUUGCAUGAUAGGUCUCUAAGAAUGUCAACUUUGAAGUUCUACGUGGUCUUACCAAUGCAUUGCUUGCUGCUAAGAAACCGGAUGAGGUAUGGAUAAUGGAUACAUUGUACAGUUCCUUAAUUCAAAAUGAUUAAUAGUGGAUUUGCAUAUACCUUGGGGAUUGUAUGCUAUGGUAUUUCAAGUAAUGCUAAUACACUCCAGUGGAUUAAGUUUAAAAGGAAAACUAAAACCUGAUUUGGACUCCUCCUUUUUUUUUAUAAAUUUUGAGUAUAUAUUGCUGAAUGUGGAGAUUCGAAUAUUUGCUAUGAGAUGGUUUUGCUUGUAUUUUUUGUACUUCAUCGUGAACUUGUCCCAAAUGUUGGACCAAUGGACCUACUUUUGCUGCUUUCAGCCAUUGGCCAAUCUCAGUUUCUUGAAAUUGUAGUAUCAUUCUGCAAUUUUUGGUCAGAGGACACAACUCAUGUCUGUACAUCUCUUGCUUGUAGUCUCUCUUAAUAUUUUGCAGUUAGAGAAUUUUACUUGGGCGGUGGACUUCUAUUUCUUUUCAAGGGUUUCUUGGCAUUUAGGAGAGUUUUGUUGGGACUCCCAUCCUUGCAAUGCUAUGUUAGGUGCCUGUAAGUGAAGGUUGUCAUUCAUAUGUGCAGGUUUGCUUUAAACACAUAAAUAAAAUGGUGUUAGCUUAUUGUUUCUUUUGUGGAUUUGAAGAAAAUUGUUGAUGGUUCUCAGUUUUUGUAUUACAAUUCUGUACUUCACAAAAACGUUGAAAUCAACAGUCUAGGAUUUUGCCUUUGUCCCCAUUGGAUUGUGAAGAUUUAUAGCCUGUAGCAUUUAAUAUUUCAAAGUAUUUAUUAACUCUUUUUCUUUUUCCUUUUAUGAAGGCUGUUCAGAUCCUUCUGGCUUCUCGUGAACGCCUGAAUUCUGAAAAACCAAGUGGCAUUGGUAUUAAAGCUGAUGGCAAUGCCAUGGAAACUGAAUCAGAGGUGGACCCUAUUCAGGUUGACUUGCUUCUUGGAAAGGUCUAUUCAGACUGGGGACAUGUGAGUGAUGCUGUAUCUGUUUAUGAUCAGCUGAUCUCCAGUCACCCUAAUGACUUUCGGGUUUACCUAGCAAAGGGAAUUAUAUUGAAAGAGAACGGCAAUGUUGGAGAUGCAGAAAGGAUGUUUAUACAAGCUCGGUUUUUUGCACCAGAGAAAGCGAAGGCAUUUGUUGAUCGUUAUGCUAGAAAAUGAUGACAUUGUUUAUUUCAUUGCUUGUACAUUGGGCAUCUAAAAGCAUCAACCGUAGUUUAAUUGGAUCACUGUUGAAUUCUUAAAAGGGUACUAAAUUUUGUGAUGACCAAAUGAAAUGUGACUGACUUCUUUCUCAGCUGUUGUGAUAACCAAAUGAAAUGUGACAAUGACUUCUUUCUCAGCUGUUUUUCAUUGUAAACGUGGCUUCUUUUUGGGUAAGAAUGACUCUGCUAUCCAUCCUCAGGGAGAUGCUAAGUGUUGUGCUACAAAUACAAUAUGGAAAUCAUUGAUUAUUUUCCUGCCAUUGGCAUGGAUAUGGAGGCUUUGUUGAAUUGAUUGAUUAAGUAAUUAUGCAUAUUGCGUUAGUUGAGAAACCUCCUCAUUUUCAUCAAUGACGGAGAAGUUAAUGCUAUUUUCCUUCGAAGUGUUGCUUUUGGCAGGCCUGGUUCUUAUUUAAUUUUAGUUCCGAAAGGCGAUUUUAAAUGCAUGUGCA
rnacentral:misc_RNA from 1 species